GCGGCAGGCCUAACACAUGCAAGUCGAACGGUAACAGGAAGCAGCUUGCUGCUUUGCUGACGAGUGGCGGACGGGUGAGUAAUGUCUGGGAAACUGCCUGAUGGAGGGGGAUAACUACUGGAAACGGUGGCUAAUACCGCAUAACGUCGCAAGACCAAAGAGGGGGACCUUCGGGCCUCUUGCCAUCAGAUGUGCCCAGAUGGGAUUAGCUUGUUGGUGAGGUAACGGCUCACCAAGGCGACGAUCCCUAGCUGGUCUGAGAGGAUGACCAGCCACACUGGAACUGAGACACGGUCCAGACUCCUACGGGAGGCAGCAGUGGGGAAUAUUGCACAAUGGGCGCAAGCCUGAUGCAGCCAUGCCGCGUGUAUGAAGAAGGCCUUCGGGUUGUAAAGUACUUUCAGCGGGGAGGAAGGUGUUGUGGUUAAUAACCGCAGCAAUUGACGUUACCCGCAGAAGAAGCACCGGCUAACUCCGUGCCAGCAGCCGCGGUAAUACGGAGGGUGCAAGCGUUAAUCGGAAUUACUGGGCGUAAAGCGCACGCAGGCGGUCUGUCAAGUCGGAUGUGAAAUCCCCGGGCUCAACCUGGGAACUGCAUUCGAAACUGGCAGGCUUGAGUCUUGUAGAGGGGGGUAGAAUUCCAGGUGUAGCGGUGAAAUGCGUAGAGAUCUGGAGGAAUACCGGUGGCGAAGGCGGCCCCCUGGACAAAGACUGACGCUCAGGUGCGAAAGCGUGGGGAGCAAACAGGAUUAGAUACCCUGGUAGUCCACGCCGUAAACGAUGUCUACUUGGAGGUUGUGCCCUUGAGGCGUGGCUUCCGGAGCUAACGCGUUAAGUAGACCGCCUGGGGAGUACGGCCGCAAGGUUAAAACUCAAAUGAAUUGACGGGGGCCCGCACAAGCGGUGGAGCAUGUGGUUUAAUUCGAUGCAACGCGAAGAACCUUACCUGGUCUUGACAUCCACAGAAGAAUCCAGAGAUGGAUUUGUGCCUUCGGGAACUGUGAGACAGGUGCUGCAUGGCUGUCGUCAGCUCGUGUUGUGAAAUGUUGGGUUAAGUCCCGCAACGAGCGCAACCCUUAUCCUUUGUUGCCAGCGGUUAGGCCGGGAACUCAAAGGAGACUGCCAGUGAUAAACUGGAGGAAGGUGGGGAUGACGUCAAGUCAUCAUGGCCCUUACGACCAGGGCUACACACGUGCUACAAUGGCGCAUACAAAGAGAAGCGACCUCGCGAGAGCAAGCGGACCUCAUAAAGUGCGUCGUAGUCCGGAUUGGAGUCUGCAACUCGACUCCAUGAAGUCGGAAUCGCUAGUAAUCGUGGAUCAGAAUGCCACGGUGAAUACGUUCCCGGGCCUUGUACACACCGCCCGUCACACCAUGGGAGUGGGUUGCAAAAGAAGUAGGUAGCUUAACCUUCGGGAGGGCGCUUACCACUUUGUGAUUCAUGACUGGGGUGAAGUCGUAACAAGGUAACCGUAGGGGAACCUGCGGUUGGA
rnacentral:rRNA from 4 species